GACGAACGCUGGCGGCGUGCUUAACACAUGCAAGUCGAACGGUGAAGGGAUCAGCUUGCUGGUUCUGGAUGAGUGGCGAACGGGUGAGUAACACGUGAGUAACCUGCCCCCUUCUUCUGGAUAACCGCAUGAAAGUGUGGCUAAUACGGGAUAUUCUGGGUCUGUCGCAUGAUGGGUCUGGGAAAGAUAUUGUUUCGGUGGGGGAUGGGCUCGCGGCCUAUCAGCUUGUUGGUGGGGUGAUGGCCUACCAAGGCGGUGACGGGUAGCCGGCCUGGGGGGGUGGACGGUCACACUGGGACUGAGACACGGCCCACUCUGCUACGGGAGAGAGCAGUAGGGAAUACUGCACAAUGGGCGCUAGCAUGAUGCAGCGACGCCGGGUGAGGGAUGGAGGCCUUCGGGUUGUAAACCUCUUUCGCCAGUGAAGCUGGCCUGCUCCUUGUGGGUGGGUUGACGGUAGCUGGAUAAGAAGCGCCGGCUAACUACGUG
rnacentral:rRNA from 1 species